rnacentral:misc_RNA from 1 species
ACGGUGACUAAUAUAUGUCAAUCGCAGUCAUCUAUAAUUUAAUCACAAAUUAGUUGGGAUCGACUGCAUCUGUCAUCUGUAUCAGUUUUGUGUGCACUUGAAUAGUUGGAAACUUCAGUGACUCAAUCAUGCAGCUUGCAGAAAUCACUACCACAUUUUUGUUUGGGGUUAGAUAUGGGGGUGUACAGUUGAAUAAUCUCAGU